UACGUAGGGGGCAAGCGUUGUCCGGAAUCAUUGGGCGUAAAGAGCGUGUAGGCGGCCUGGUAGGUCAGCUGUGAAAACUCGAGGCUCAACCUCGAGACGCCGGUUGAAACCAUCAGGCUAGAGUCCGGAAGAGGAGAGUGGAAUUCCUGGUGUAGCGGUGAAAUGCGCAGAUAUCAGGAGGAACACCGGUGGCGAAGGCGGGUCUCUGGGCCGAUACUGACGCUGAGGAGCGAAAGCGUGGGGAGCGAACAGG
rnacentral:rRNA from 1 species